rnacentral:rRNA from 1 species
CUACGGGUGGCUGCAGUGGGGAAUAUUGCACAAUGGGCGCAAGCCUGAUGCAGCAACGCCGCGUGAACGAUGAAGGCCCUUGGGUCGUAAAGUUCUGUCCUUGGGGAAGAAACAAAUGACGGUACCCAAGAAGAAAGCCCCGGCUAAUUACGUGCCAGCAGCCGCGGUAAUACGUAAGGGGCGAGCGUUAUCCGGAAUUAUUGGGCGUAAAGAGUAUGUAGGUGGUUUUUUAAGCGCGAGGUUUAAGGCAAUGGCUCAACCAUUGUUUGCCUUGCGAACUGGAAAACUUGAGUGCAGGAGAGGAAAGCGGAAUUCCUAGUGUAGCGGUGAAAUGCGUAGAUAUUAGGAGGAACACCAGUGGCGAAGGCGGCUUUCUGGACUGUAACUGACACUGAGAUACGAAAGCGUGGGGAGCAAACAGGAUUAGAUACCCGCGUAGUC